UUCGGUCUUUCUGUUGCUGCGUAGGGGUUGGUAGCUGUACUUGAACAUGUUUCGAAUUUUUAACGGUUCUAAUGGUUGGUUGCUUUAUUGCUAUAUAUAUAUAUAUAUAUAUAUAUAUAUAUAGCAAUAAAUAAAUCUUAAUUAACACUUUAUUAUACGUCUUUGGGCUUUUACACGGGAAGUCCAAGCUGGAUUAGUUUGUCUUUUAUGGAUGAUUGUGGAUCCACCACGUGGUUCCAGACGCUGCAAAGCUACGGAAUGAACAUGAUCUAGUGCUAAUGGCGCUAGCCAUCCUACGCCGCCAUGAUGGCUAGCUAAUAAGAAGUCCUUUAUGACCACGGCUCUUCACUCUAAACAUCACGGAGCGCAAUGUCAAACAUCCUGGUGCUUCAAUCCAUCGCAGAACCCCUGGUAUCAGCAAGGCAAG